GAAACACAAUGGAUUUACAUCCCAGACACAUUCACACCCAGCCAAGAGCAGCUGCUGCUACAAAACCUAGUCACGGACUUGCGCGCUCUCUCUCUCUCUCUCUCUCCCUCUCUCAGAUCGGGUGAGAAUAGAAGCUUAGAGGGGAG
rfam:Dipodomys ordii contig_2298, whole genome shotgun sequence.